rnacentral:lncRNA from 1 species
AAUCCCAAUGUCCGCCACUAGACAUCAUUUUACCCGAGAAUCAUACUGGGGCUUAGAUCAUUCAUCCGACCUUCAAAUUGGGUGCCGUUUGUUCCUACUCCUUUCUCUUGACUUCCUUCACACCUCCAUGAAGUUUCAUCCCAUUCCCAUACACAUGGAAUGAGUUAUGGCCUUCGGACCAAUCAGCAAAUUACGACAAUG